rnacentral:rRNA from 1 species
UUGGAGGGCAAGUCUGGUGCCAGCAGCCGCGGUAAUUCCAGCUCCAAUAGCGUAUAUUAAAGUUGUUGCAGUUAAAAAGCUCGUAGUUGAACUUCGGGGUCUACCCAUUGGUCAGGCUUAAUUGUCUGUACUGGUGAGAUGGAUCUCUACCUUCUGAGGAACUUUCAUGCCAUUUAUUUGGUGUGAUGGGAAAUCAGGACUGUUACUUUGAAAAAAUAGAGUGUUUAAAGCAGACUAUCGUCUGAAUACAUUAGCAUGGAAUAAUGAAAUAGGACGGACUGAUUCUAUUUCGUUGGUUUCUAGGAUCACCGUAAUGAUUAAUAGGGAUAGUUGGGGGCAUUAGUAUUCAAUUGUCAGAGGUGAAAUUCUUGGAUUUAUUGAAGACUAACUACUGCGAAAGCAUUUGCCAAGGAUGUUUUCAUUAAUCAAGAACGAAAGUUAGGGGAUCGAAGACGAUCAGAUACCGUCGUAGUCUUAACCAUAAACUAUGCCGACUAGGGAUCGGACGAAGUUAAUUUUAUAAUGACGCGUUCGGCGCCUUACGGGAAAC